UAAAGACCUGUAUCAUCUUCGUGAG
rnacentral:misc_RNA from 1 species